rnacentral:rRNA from 1 species
GACUAACCGAGCGAACGUUGUUCGGAAUCACUGGGCUUAAAGGGCGCGUAGGCGGGCUGCCGCGUCCGGGGUGAAAUCCCACGGCUCAACCGUGGAACGGCCCCGGGUACGGGCGGCCUCGAGGGGGGUAGGGGCGUGCGGAACUGUGGGUGGAGCGGUGAAAUGCGUUGAGAUCCACAGGAACUCCGGUGGCGAAGGCGGCACGCUGGACCCCUUCUGACGCUGAGGCGCGAAAGCCAGGGGAGCGAACGGG